rnacentral:misc_RNA from 1 species
GAAAUGCGAUAAGUAAUGUGAAUUGCAGAAUUCAGUGAAUCAUCGAAUCUUUGAACGCACAUUGCGCCCGCCAGUAUUCUGGCGGGCAUGCCUGUUCGAGCGUCAUUUCAACCAUCAAGCCCCCGGCUUGUGUUGGGGACCUGCGGCUGCCCGCAGGCCCUGAAAAACAGUGGCGGGCUCGCUGUCACACCGAGCGUAGUAGCAUACAUUCUCGCUCAGGGCGUGCUGCGGGUUCCGGCCGUUAAACGACCUUCAUAACCCAAGGUUGACCUCGGAUCAGGUAGGAAGACCCGCUGAACUAAAGC